CUCCAGUGUUUCUUGUUCAAUUCUCUCUUGAAUUGAAAAUUGAAUUGAAAUUGAAUUUGUGUCUCCUGUGUUUUGUGGAUUUAUGUUGUGUUUUGGACUGCUCACACCAUAUCACCUUAGCGUCCAUGUUGAUUCCACAUUCUGACUUAGGAGCGUAUGAACACACACUGAAGUCGGAAGAAGAACUUCACAACUUGGGAAAUGGAACCAUCCGAGGAGCACGUGAAUGCACCGUGAGCCAAUGGUUGCAUUGCAUAAUCCUCACCACUAGAUACCACUGAACCUUAAGUAAGUAAGAAUAGAAGUGAAAUUUGGACAAAUGGAGGACUACACGUAUUAUUUGGCACAAGCCAACAGCGUGCAGAUCUUCGUCGACAAAGAAAUGAAAACAUGAUGAAGCCAGGCGAAGUCGGGACAGAUGCAAACAGAUGAUGGCAGAAAUAAAGGAUAUAAUGUUGGAUUUUCCCAGAUAGAAGGCUCUGAUGCAGGACAAAUUUUUUCAAAGCUGCGCUGAAGUUGCCGGUUUUCUGCUGGACAGAGUAGGUGGUGCCAACAUCAGUCUGAAACAGGAUUGGUUAGCUGGGGGCCGCAUCGCAAACCAGACAGAAGCAAGUGAUUCAUCUACGUGACACAAGCCAGCUACACAGUAGAUUCCUUUAGUCAAACAUAUUCAGGGUCAAAGUACAUGGAUUCUUUCAUGGUUAUUACAACAACAGCUAGAGUAAGAGUCUUCCACUGUUGGUGUAGUUUUUCGUAUUUAAAAGACUUGGUGAAAGAAUUACACCGGAAAGCCCCAUCCAACUCCCUGUCUGGGAUUUCAACCUUCAACCAACAGGAAUUUUUACGGCGCCAUUUUCCUUGUUGAAAGUAUGUGCUUUCAUCGAGUCCUCCAUCCCAAAUGGCAGUGGAGGCAUCAGAAUUUCUGAUGAGAAGGGGAUGCAGACGUCUUUGAAGAAGUAGCACAGCAACCCAAUGCUGGUGUAUUUACAAUCAGAUCUGACAACGAUUCCAAGGGGACAAUCUCUUCCAGCUCUUCCCAGGCCACUGCUUGAUGUCAUAACCAACUCAGCACUGUACGUUUCAGCUUGUGGCUCAGAUGUUACAGUCCUGGAUGAGGAAUGAAGCGCUUCCAGAAAACGAGAGAAGGCUGAUAAUGAUGUCAAACAUGUAAGUUGAUGUGUAAAAUGUAUUUGUAAGAGCCUCCUUUGCACAGUUUUUUGAUUGGUAGCUCUUUCUGUAGAUGUAUUUACUGUCAGUUGUUCAUGAUUAUUUAUUUUUACUGAAUAUUGUCUUGUCUUCUACUCCUUUCACCACACCUGGUGGAGUCGUAUCAUCAAGGCGAAGAAAGCUCUGACUGACUCCUCACGACAACAAGUAGUUAAAGGAUAAUCUCAGGAUUUUUUACACCUGGGCCCCAUUUGCACGUAUUUUGGUGGCCCCGACCACUAUCUUUAGCGCCCCUAAAGGCAGCAAGCAGGCCACAGAAUUGGCUACAACCCACUCUCCAGUGAAGUCAAGACAGUAGUAGUAGAUCAGACUUCAGAAUGAUGUUGGCACCACCUACUCAAUUAGCAUGUGCGCACAGGCAUAAAGAAAUGUGGAAAUACAGAAAUAAAUAAAUGUAAAAAUACAGUAAUAAAUGCAUUUAGAAAUGCAUAAAUAAAUGUGGAAAUACAGAAAUAAAUAUAUAAAUAAAUGUAAAUACAGUAAUAAA